CUCACAUUUUGCAGAAAAUUAAAUUCUUAACCUAACAGCAGUUUAGGAGGUGGAAAAAUUGAAGGUUUUCCUCUGGGUCAAGGGCAUCUGCAUCCUCUUUCUCGGGUACAUUAAAAAAAAUCCACCUCCCAUGUUCUGUCUGCUGAAUCCACGAUGAAGCUUCUCUUCUGUGUGUGGAGAGGGAACCAUUUCUGCUCUGCAGGGUAAGGAAAGCCACGUUAUGGCCUGAAUCCAGCUGAAUAUGAAGUGCUGCAGAGUUGUGAUGUUGGCUUUGGAUAUGAGCAACUGGAAAUGGAUUUCUCUUGACUGUGUCAAUGCAACUGUGGAGCAACAGUCAGCCUACAGUCUUUAAGGGUGGCAGCGCAGGAAGCUGAUGGGAGUGUGUGCUCCAGGAGGCUAUAGUGGCUGUCUCAUCACAGAUGCCCUAGAGCCCAGCUGCAUGCUCACUGAAGUCAAUGGAAAGAAUCUCUUUAACCUUGUGAGCUCUUUAUUUAGCCCCUGAGCUCAUCAAGCCUGUAACUGUCGGUUUAUUUUAUGUUUCUACGGUUUGGGCACCACAAGACUCUAUUCCUACAUUGAUUUCCGGGCACUGUCACAUCAAUACAGUUAAGUUAAAGAUAUAUUUAUUAUUUUUUACAAGUACUUUCAUUAUUUACCAUCUCAUUUCUGUGGUGUUGCUGUCACUUUGCUGAGUUCUUUUUUGCGUGCUAACAAUUUAGAGGGACAGGUGGCAGAGAGGCUCAGCUUUAUGUUUCUACUAAUUCUGACCAGUGAUCUUAGGUUCUAGAAAAUAUUUUUGAAGUUACAAGGUCGCUGCCUGGGAAAUCAAUGAAACAUUAAUACUUCAUUUUGUUACAUACCGGAGUAAAAGCAGACUGUAGUGUGCUUGCUGCCUUGCGGCGGAAUCUCAGUCAGCUUUAAGAAAUGAAUGCAUGUUGUGGUAAUCUUCUGUGAGCAGAUGUAGGCCAGUCUCCUCCUCUGUGCAGCAACAGCCAGAGCGAGGGAUGUAUGGUCAUAUCUCCUGGGUGCUGCUGUAAGAUGUGUUCUAAGUAAAUAUCAUCUUGGGAAGCUGAUGUCCUGCUGAUGCUGUGCUCUAUACCAGGAGCAAAGUAUCUCACCUCAUAUGCCUCGGUUUCUCUAUGGUAAGGACAAGUGCUGCUUUCUUUUCCAU